GGAAAUUACUCUGCCAUUUUCAACCACCC
rnacentral:piRNA from 1 species